rnacentral:rRNA from 1 species
GAUACCCGAAUGGGGAAACCCAGUGUGACUCGUCACACUAUCAUUAACUGAAUCCAUAGGUUAAUGAGGCGAACCGGGGGAACUGAAACAUCUAAGUACCCCGAGGAAAAGAAAUCAACCGAGAUUCCCCCAGUAGCGGCGAGCGAACGGGGAGGAGCCCAGAGCCUGAAUCAGCAUGUGUGUUAGUGGAAGCGUCUGGAAAGGCGCGCGAUACAGGGUGACAGCCCCGUACACAAAAGCGCAUGUGCUGUGAGCUCGAUGAGUAGGGCGGGACACGUGGUAUCCUGUCUGAAUAUGGGGGGACCAUCCUCCAAGGCUAAAUACUCCUGACUGACCGAUAGUGAACCAGUACCGUGAGGGAAAGGCGAAAAGAACCCCGGCGAGGGGAGUGAAAAAGAACCUGAAACCGUGUACGUACAAGCAGUGGGAGCACCCUUUGGGUGUGACUGCGUACCUUUUGUAUAAUGGGUCAGCGACUUAUAUUCUGUAGCAAGGUUAACCGAAUAGGGGAGCCGGAGGGAAACCGAGUCUUAACCGGGCGUUAAGUUGCAGGGUAUAGACCCGAAACCCGGUGAUCUAGCCAUGGGCAGGUUGAAGGUUGGGUAACACUAACUGGAGGACCGAACCGACUAAUGUUGAAAAAUUAGCGGAUGACCUGUGGCUGGGGGUGAAAGGCCAAUCAAACCGGGAGAUAGCUGGUUCUCCCCGAAAGCUAUUUAGGUAGCGCCUCGUGAAUUCAUCUCCGGGGGUAGAGCACUGUUUCGGCUAGGGGGCCAUCCCGGCUUACCAACCCGAUGCAAACUGCGAAUACCGGAGAAUGUUAUCACGGGAGACACACGGCGGGUGCUAACGUCCGUCGUGAAGAGGGAAACAACCCAGACCGCCAGCUAAGGUCCCAAAGUCAUGGUUAAGUGGGAAACGAUGUGGGAAGGCCCAGACAGCCAGGAUGUUGGCUUAGAAGCAGCCAUCAUUUAAAGAAAGCGUAAUAGCUCACUGGUCGAGUCGGCCUGCGCGGAAGAUGUAACGGGGCUAAACCAUGCACCGAAGCUGCGGCAGCGACACUGUGUGUUGUUGGGUA